rnacentral:lncRNA from 1 species
UGGAAACAAAAAUUCAUUCAACAUCAUCCACGAACUGGAAUGAGAAGAAGAAAGAACAUCGAAGUCUAGUGUAAAUAAAAUGUUUAGAAUGUUUGAAACGACAUUAGCUUAGCAAGUAAUACAAAUUUGCUGCUGCACGUUACCACGAGAUUGGGCUUUCAUAUUCGACGUGAACAUAACCGUCUCUCUUUUCUGCUAUUUUUGGACUGAAUUUGUCCAGUUUUGUUGAUUUUCUCUGUGCCACGAUUAAAAACAUGUUAAACAUUUUAAUUAUAAAGAGAAGACGUAACGCGAAGUUCACAAAAGCAGCAAGUUUAAUCAACAAAAAUACCGAAAAUAAUAAACGUAAAAAUAAAAAUGGAAAGAAAUCGCAGAAAACAUAAAGGGGAACAUAGGCUUUUCAUCCUAAGGCAAGAGAUUAGGAACGAACUUUUGAGCUUCCGUCGAACCGGAAGAAAUCACUAUAUCAACGAAUCAAUAAAGCUGUCCAGAUUGUACAUCUCGUAGCACUCAGAAUAACACUCAAGAUUAUUCAAUAUAAGCCUCACUAAUCGAUACAGCCAUUCACUCAAGAAUAGAUGAAGAUAAUCUGUACAAAUCACUCAAGAUUAUACAAUUUUGGGGUCAUAUCGAAGGAAUCUUUCUUGGACAAAAUUCUUUAGAUCGAAAGAAGGAGAAUCGCCUCUUGAGAGAGAUGAAGCGGCGAAAUGAGAGAGAG